rnacentral:rRNA from 1 species
UCGGGGUCUACCAUGCAAGUCGAACGAUGAAGCCCAGCUUGCUGGGUGGAUUAGUGGCGAACGGGUGAGUAACACGUGAGCAACGUGCCCAUAACUCUGGGAUAACCUCCGGAAACGGUGGCUAAUACUGGAUAUCUAACAUGAUCGCAUGGUCUGUGUUUGGAAAGAUUUUUUGGUUAUGGAUCGGCUCACGGCCUAUCAGCUUGUUGGUGAGGUAAUGGCUCACCAAGGCGACGACGGGUAGCCGGCCUGAGAGGGUGACCGGCCACACUGGGACUGAGACACGGCCCAGACUCCUACGGGAGGCAGCAGUGGGGAAUAUUGCACAAUGGGCGAAAGCCUGAUGCAGCAACGCCGCGUGAGGGAUGACGGCCUUCGGGUUGUAAACCUCUUUUAGUAGGGAAGAAGCGAAAGUGACGGUACCUGCAGAAAAAGCACCGGCUAACUACGUGCCAGCAGCCGCGGUAAUACGUAGGGUGCAAGCGUUGUCCGGAAUUAUUGGGCGUAAAGAGCUCGUAGGCGGUUUGUCGCGUCUGCUGUGAAAUCCCGAGGCUCAACCUCGGGUCUGCAGUGGGUACGGGCAGACUAGAGUGUGGUAGGGGAGAUUGGAAUUCCUGGUGUAGCGGUGGAAUGCGCAGAUAUCAGGAGGAACACCGAUGGCGAAGGCAGAUCUCUGGGCCAUUACUGACGCUGAGGAGCGAAAGCAUGGGGAGCGAACAGGAUUAGAUACCCUGGUAGUCCAUGCCGUAAACGUUGGGCGCUAGAUGUGGGGACCAUUCCACGGUUUCCGUGUCGUAGCUAACGCAUUAAGCGCCCCGCCUGGGGAGUACGGCCGCAAGGCUAAAACUCAAAGGAAUUG